AUAACAAUGAUAAAGGCGACUACAGGUCGCCUACUGUAGUUAUUACUUAACCCAGAUGGUUUGGCCGCCGAUCAAGUUAAGUAACCUACGAAUUUGGUGUUACGCAUAGCUGGCUGUUAGCUUAGAUUCCUUACUAUCCCUACUAACAGUUUUUGUAACCUGCCUGAGCAACCAUGCUCAGGCUUUUUUGU
rnacentral:sRNA from 1 species